rnacentral:rRNA from 1 species
CCUACGGGUGGCAGCAGUGAGGAAUAUUGGUCAAUGGCCGCAAGGCUGAACCAGCCAAGUCGCGUGAAGGAUGAAGGACCUAUGGUUUGUAAACUUCUUUUAUAGGGGAAUAAAGUUAUCCACGUGUGGCUAUUUGUAUGUACUUUAUGAAUAAGCAUCGGCUAACUCCGUGCCAGCAGCCGCGGUAAUACGGAGGAUGCGAGCGUUAUCCGGAUUUAUUGGGUUUAAAGGGAGCGUAGGUGGGUUUUUAAGUCAGUUGUGAAAGUUUGCGGCUCAACCGUAAAAUUGCCAUUGAUACUGGAAGCCUUGAGUAUAGUUGAGGUAGGCGGAAUUCGUGGUGUAGCGGUGAAAUGCUUAGAUAUCACGCAGAACUCCGAUUGCGAAGGCAGCUUACUAAGC